rnacentral:lncRNA from 1 species
GCUUCUUCUGGCCAUCUUCACAAGUUGGGUACAACAAUUUGUUGUGGUCCUGUAACAUCUGCUCGAACUGCAACCUCUCCUUUUCUGUGUCGCAACCUCGCCGUGCAUCAGAAAUAACCCGGCCAAGAUCAUCAGCGGGCUCAUCUGGUUCCCGUUCUUCAUCCUGAUCUUCUUCUUCAUUGUCUUCCAUUGCGGUAUCAGCAUACUCAGGGAACAUAGAUCGGUAGUUGUCAUCAUCGUUCUCUUCUUCUUCAUCGUCGUCUUUCAUCAUAACCCCUCUUUCUCCAUGCUUGGUCCAAACAUUAUAGCCCGAGAUAAAACCGGACCGAAGCAGGUGGCUCUGAAUGACUCUUGAGGAAGUGUAAUCCUU